UUAAACAGAAGAAAAAAUAAAUAGGUUUUUCCAUCUCUCUAAUUUUUUGUUUGGGCAACUUUAAUAUGAUUUUCGUAAAAGCUCAAAACUUUACGCACAAAUCCUUCCUCAAUUCUGACUUUUUUUUUUUUCUUUUUUUUUUUUUAAAUCAAUUUCUUGUUCAGAAGACUUUCCAUCUAUCCCUUCCUAUUUUGGGGAACAGCCUCCAAAUCUCUCAUAACAAAGACAUCCUUGUAUCAACUAUUGAGAUCGCUCAACUCACUUGAAGCAGAUCAGCUAUUGAAGACUCAUAUCAUAUCAGAGAAUCCACCGACCAACAACAUAGCAGUACCAAAAACUGAAACCGCAGCAAGCGUACAAGCAUAGGUUACCAGCUCCACAGAUCGCUCACUACAUUUGAAUAAAAAAGGUCUGCUUUAAAAUCUUCUGAAAAAUGAAAAGAAUGAUAGCUUUGGGGUUUGAGGGUUCAGCCAAUAAGAUUGGUGUUGGAGUUGUAACCUUAGAUGGCGCUAUUCUGUCUAACCCACGCCAUACCUAUAUUACCCUCCUGGCCAAGGUUUCCUUCCCCGAGAAACUGCUCAACACCAUCUCCAACAGAUACUCCCACUUGUCAAAUCGGCUCUGAUUGUCUCUGUUACACCAACGGUCCUGGCCUGGGAGCUCCGCUUCAAGUUGCAGCUAUCGUUGUCAGGGUUCUUUCGCAUCUGUGGAAGAAACCCAUUGUUGCAGUUAACCACUGUGUUGCACAUGUUGAGAUGGGAAGGGUUGUGACGCGCGCAGAUGAUCCUGUCGUAUUAUAUGUAAGUGGUGGCAAUACACAACUAAUUGCAUAUAGUGAAGGACGGUAUAGAAUCUUUGGAGAGACCAUGGAUAUUGCUGUUGGGAAUUGUUUGGAUCGGUUUGGCUAUGGUUUUAACUCUCUCUAAUGAUUCUAGCCCUGGAUAUAAUAUUGAGCAGGUAUGCACAUACUGGUUUCUAAUGUCUCUUUAUGUUACUUUAAGUUUAGUUAUCAAUGCAUAGAGCCUUAUUUUGUCUUUCUCUAUUAUUAUUUUAUUAUUUAAAAUUGUUUUUGAUAAAGGUUUCCUUCCGGUGGUUUAUUCCUUGAAUCAUGAUGCACAGAAAAUUCACAUGUGUAAGACCUAUUAAGAUUACGAGUCUUGGUUUUAAGUUUUAUUGUCUAAGGCCUUUCAUUCUUUACAUAAGCAUACUCUAAUAAUAUAGAGAAUCACGUUCUGUUUUACCAUUUUCUCAAACCACUUUUGAGAUUUUUACUUAACUAAGCACAUUCUUAUGAAUGUAUAGUUUUUGAUUAAGUUUUUCAGGUUAGAGUUAUAAUAGGAUUUUCAACUGCUUAAAUAGUUCAUAUUGGACUAAAGUUGUAUUUCUUGUGUUGCAUAGUUUUAGAAAACGGAGAAGCUAUUAGAUUUGAGGUUGCAGAACUGCCAAUAGUUCUGUUAUUCUAUUAAUAUAAUUAUUAUUCAUUCUAGUUUUAGCCAUUCACUGGUACUGUGUGUUUUAGAUUAGGUACCUGACAUGCUCUACUGGGGCUCAUGAUGAAUUGCUGAUGCAUUAUAUAUCAUUGUAAAUCAACGACAUGUUUUGAUGGUUUUGAUUCUCUUUGUAACUAUUAGAUUUAUUUCUGUUGCUUUUUGGGAAUAUGUUUUUGGUUGCAUAAAUAGCUUUGAUUUGUCAAAUAUAUAUGGAGUUGUAUACUCUUUGAUGGAAAAGUUUACCAUAACAAGAUUAGGAAAAUGGAGUUAAUAUAAUCUUGUAUUUUUCGAUUGUACAUUGGUGUUAAAAGAUUGAUUUUUUAUGUUAAUACAAGCACAUUUUGGAAAUUUAAGUGACCCCGGGAGUGUUAAUUUUUUUUUUUAUCUGUUUUCUUAUUUUCCUUAUUUAUUUUGUUUUUGUAUUCUAUAUUUUUAUUAAGGAUAAAUAGGUUUUUAGUGGUUUAAUAGUGCCUUUUUUUUACCAUACAUUCUCUCCAGCAUGUAAUGAUGUCACUGAUUUAAUUAUUAGUUUAUCCUAAUUGGACAAUGGAAAGUGGGUAUCAUUAGGAAGUUCCUCACCUGUCUUUUAUCAUUAAGAGUAGCAAUGAUGUUUUAUUUCUGAUCAGCUCUGUAUCUUUGUCAUGGGAUUUAUUUUUUACUUGGAAAAUUUGGUAGAUAUUGACAAUCGACUAAUCCCUCAUGGCACAUGCAGUCUUCUUGUACCACAUGCAUCUGGCUAUUUUGGGCCACCUUGGAUUCUAGGAUAGCUCCCAAACUUUGAACCCAUGCAUCAUGAGGUAAAUAUCUAAAUUCAAUCAGUAAGCCCAGAAUAUGCUCCUUAAGUUGGUUUAGAGGGGAAAUUCAUUGAUGUUGGAAUGUUAUAAGGGUGCUUUAGAGCAAUAUGUUAAGUUAUAUGGCAACCCUCCUUGCAAGCUUCAGAACCUGCAACUCAAGUUAAGUUUCUGCUGAACUUGUACCAGGGCAAGCUCUUUUUAGCUUGUUAUUAUAGGCUGGAUGAUAAUGAACUGUUUUUUGUGCUAGUGUUCUUUGUUGACCAUAUUUUGAAGAUAAUGACUUCAUGUUGUAAACUUUUGAUGCCCCAAACUCUACUUACUAGCACUAGAUGAACAAAACAGUUCCAUGAGUGAUUCUCUCACUCUCUCUCUAAAUGAAAUUGUUAUUGUUAUAUUAAUUUAGGGAAAAAUACAUAAAACCUUCCUAAACUAUUAAGUGGUUGCUGAUAACCGACUCAAACUUUGUCAGUAAAUUGUCCCCAAAAAAAAAAAAAAAAAAAAAAAAAAGGAAAACUGGGUAAAUAACAAACUCUUAUAAUAUAGUACGAUGUUAUAUAUUAAACACUGCUGUCAAUUUUGUGAUUAACAGGUCACGGAGUUAAUUGGAACAAACCAACGGUUUAAGUACGGAGUUAAUUGGAACAAACCAACGGUUUAAGGGGUUUCAUGCAAUUUACCCUUCACUUAUUGUAGUUUUAAAUUUCCAUUAAUGCGUGGUACUUGAGUUGAAUAAAAAGGUGGAAUUGCUUCAUCUUGACAUGUGAUAUGUGUUAUUUUUGUUCUUUAGCCUGCAAAGAAAGGAACAAUUUAUUGACCUCCCUUAUGUUGUCAAAGGCAUGGAUGUUUCUUUUAGUGGAAUAUUAAGCUAUAUUGAAGCCACUGCCAAGGAGAAGCUAAAAAAUAAUGAAUGCACUCCAGCAGAUUUGUGCUAUUGCUUGCAGGAAAUGUUGUUUGCAAUGCUUGUAGAGAUUACAGCAUGAGCAAUGGCACACUGUGACAAGGAAGACGUUUUUAUUGUUGGUGGUGUUGGUUGCAAUGAACAUUUGCAAGAGCUGAUGAAAGUAAUGUGCUCUGAGCGCGGGGGGGGAGGGGAAGCUGUUUGCAACUGGUGAUAGGAAUUGCAUUGACAACGGAGCCAUGAUUGCUUAUACUGGUCUGCUUGCUUUUGCUCAUGGCACAUUAACCCCGCUGGAAGAAUCCACAUUUACCCAGCAAUUCCGGACUGAUGAAGUGGAAGCAGUAUGGAGAGUGAAAAAGGAGUCAGCAAAAGUGCAUACAUAAAAUAUUUUCAACUGAAGCUAGGGUUUUAUAGAUUUUUUAAAACCAAAUUCAGUGUUGAAUUCCCUUUUAGAGUUAGCAUAGGGAAUGGUCAUAAUUUUAGUUGGAAGGAAAAUUGGCUAGUUAUGUUUGAGAACUUGUCUGCAGAUUAUAUGCAUUUCUAAUGAUGAAAUGUACCAUAUUAGGGUGAUGGCUAUGAUUGAUUUUAGAAGAAAGAAAUUAUUGUGCCAAACAAAUCAAUUUAAGAGCCCUGAUUACUAA